GACGUAGGAGGCGAGCGUUAUCCGGAUUUACUGGGCGUAAAGCGCACGUAGGCGGUGCGGUAAGGGGUGCGUGAAAGCUCCUGGCUCAACUGGGAGAGGUCGUACCCGACUGCCGGACUAGAGGAAGGUAGAGGCAGAUGGAAUUCCGGGUGGAGUGGUGAAAUGCGUAGAGAUCCGGAGGAACACCAGAGGCGAAGGCGAUCUGCUGGGCUUUAACUGACGCUGAGGUGCGAAAGCGUGGGGAGCGAAC
rnacentral:rRNA from 1 species